rnacentral:rRNA from 1 species
CCCGCAGCACAAGUGGUGGUCAUUAUUAUUGGGCCUAAAGCGUCCGUAGCUGGCUUGUUAGAUGCCUGGGUAAAUCGAUGCGCUCAACGCAUCGAAUUCCGGGUAGACCGGCAAGCUUGGGACCGGGAGAGGCGUGAGCUACUCGAGGGGUAGGGGUAAAAUCCUGUAAUCCUUCGGGGAGGACCAGUGGCGAAGGCGUCACGCUAGAACGGCUCCGACAGUGAGGGACGAAGCCCUGGGGCGCAAACCGGAUUAGAUACCCGGGUAGUCCAGGGUGUAAACGCUGCAGACUUGGUGUCGGUGAUCCUACGAGGGGUUGCCGGUGCCGUAGAGAAGUUGUUUAGUCUGCCGCCUGGGGAGUACGGUCGCAAGACUG